UAGUUAUCCGAUUUAAUUUCAUAUUUACGGUGUUGUUAUUAGUCAGCUAGCGUGCUGGUUAAGUUAGCAUUAGCCUAGCCAGCCAACAUCCCAGACCGUGCGGUCACUAAGCUACUCUUCUGCCCAAGAAGAGGAGGAUAUCACACUGAAACAAGAAGUAGAGGGUGAGGCCGUUACUGUGAAAGAAGAGGAAGACUCGUUCAGAGUGAAAGAGGAGGAGGAUGUCACAGUAAAAAGAGAGGAGGAUGCAGGUUACGGAGUGAAAGAGGAGGAGGGAGAGAUGACUGUUACGUCGAAAAAGGAGGAGGAGGAAGAAGAGGAGGAAACUAGAUACCUGGUCCCGGUUUCCCAAACGCUUCUUAAGGCAUCCAAUGGUUCUAACGAUGAAUUUAGCCGUAAGAUGGUUUUGAGAAACCGUUCUCUGAUUAACACUAAAGAGAGCGAACUCUUCCUGAACCACCUUGUCCUGCUGGCCUUCAUAAAUUCUGACGUUGCUGGUAAUAGGCUACACAAGCAUCUUACCAUCUUACCAUUUAUACUGAUCUGCAUGUCAGUUAUGAUUUUAAUAUUCUCAUUUUCAUGGAACAGUUCAAUUCCAUUGAUAAAGUAUCUCAAAAUCAUUGUCUGUGAUUAAUCUACAUUCAAUCUAAAUCUAAAUGAAAUGUAUACUAUUAAUUUAUACUAACUUUUAUUGCUAACUAUGUAAAAAAAUAUCCUACAAAUAAAAACAUUGCAAAUAAAUAUCCUGUAAAUCACAUGGCCUGUCUACAACAAACUUGAAACAUUGUUUAAAAUAAUUCUGGGCUCUCGGUUUCCCGUGCCAGUGAGUUUGGGACCGACACAGUUGUUGGCUAUUUGUAAAAGGGAUAAGAAGUAAUCAGGUAUUUUAUGACAUUUCCAAUGGAUCAGCGCAUUACAUUUGUCCCUUUCGUGUUGAGUGGUUAUCGAAAGGGCGAGAGCUGGAAAUGUUUUUCAAAUUCUUUAAGGAACUAUUCUCAUUUGCAAUUGAUUUUGAUUAGACAUUGUAUA
rnacentral:lncRNA from 1 species